rnacentral:rRNA from 1 species
ACCCGCUGAAUUUAAGCAUAUCACUAAGCGGAGGAAAAGAAACUAACCAGGAUUCCCCUAGUAACGGCGAGUGAAGAGGGAGAAGCCCAGCACCGAAGCCUGCGGUAGCUUUACUGCUAGGCAAUGUGGUGUUUGGGUCGGCCCGCGGGAUUGCCACUCCAUUCGAAGUCCAGCAUUGAGUAUGGUACCCUGGAUUUGGCCCAUAGAGGGUGAAAGGCCCGUGCGAAUGGAUGUUUCAGACAUGAAAGGCAGUUCACCAGGUCGGCCUUAGAGUCGGGUUGUUUGAGAAUGCAGCCCAAAGUGGGUGGUAAACUCCAUCCAAGGCUAAAUACUGGCACGAGUCCGAUAGCGAACAAGUACCGUGAGGGAAAGUUGAAAAGUACUCUGAAGAGAGAGUAAACAGUACGUGAAACCGCAUAAAGGUAAACGGGUGGCGUCAAGCUGCAAGCCUGGAGGAUUCAGCUGGUCAUUGUGGAGUGUAUACGUCCUGUGUAUCGCAGUCGGUGGUAGUGAGUAGUCUGCUGGUAAACGGCGGGCCUGGUCGCAAGACCAGGAUGUGCGUUCCACGUGUUCGGUGGUGUACGCUGCUCAACUAUUGGACUGGAUGGCCAGUGCACUUCCUCCAUUAAGGUGAACACCACGACCGGUGGUACUGCCAGUCUGGUGUAGCCAAGUUGUGUCUAUUUGGGCAUUCGUGUUCAUUAGGUGCAAUCACAGGCAGAUUCGGUGGACGGUGAGUAGACUUCGGUUUGCUCAUGUUAUCGGCCACUGGCUGUCARCGGGUCUGUCCAYUGGGGUUGCAGUCCUCGGUGGGUGGCCUGGUGGGCUACACUGGUAAGAAUAACUGUGCAGGGCACCGGAGUGAUCGGUCUCUAAUCCGGUUGGCGCACGCGCUGCAAGUGUGUGURGAGGUGCCAUUGCGGCCUGUCGUUGGUUGGGUCUGAUUGCCGUGUCGCCUGCGAAAAGUAGGUCCGGUAGUGGCUCGGCUACGGUCGGUGCAUGUAGUGGUAUUUCUYUGUCAGUCGGUGUGGACCUAACAGUCUGUGGUGUAGUGGUAGACGAGCUACCCGACCCGUCUUGAAACACGGACCAAGGAGUUU